CUCCUGGGCUCGGUCCAACUCCUCCUCCACCAGCUGGAUCCUACGGUUCAGAGCUGCUACAUCACCCUCCGCCUGAGAGGAGAAAUAAGUUUACAGGUAGGCGAGUCAUUCUGCUACGCAUUUGGCAAGAUACAGCUGCUAAGAGAGAGAAAAGAGGAAGGAGUGGCAGUGAGGACGAAAGGUCCUGCCCUACUGCACCCAUUGCUGCCAGGGGAGGCCGUUGAUAUGAGACAGGAAACGUCUGUCGAACUAGCGUUGACGUGUGUUUUAACAGCCGGCACUUGAUCGAGGAAAACCUAACCCAUCACGGAAUGAAUGAAAAGUCAUAAAUCGGCCCAACAUCUUGAAAUCACAUCAGCAGCGUCCUUAACGCAGGUCUACAGCUGUCGACACUGCAUCUGGCUGCUGAGAAAUGUUGAACAGAAUUAAAGUGGAGCCUGAAAUAACAGAUAUUUUUACUUCCUGCAUCCUGAGUGAAGCAAUGUGCUGUGGAGAAUGCCGUC